rnacentral:misc_RNA from 1 species
CGACAAGCAAAUUGAGACAUUGCGCCAUGUUUAAUCUGCUGUCUCUUCAGUUUUCUUCGGCUUAGACAGGAAAUACCAACCAAAACCAGCUAGUACAGCAACUGUUCCAGCAAGGACUGCAUAGUUUCGGUUCUUGUCAGUUGAGACACCUUUUGUUGAAGAACCUGGUGCCUCACUUGGCUUCACUUCAGUUGCCGGUGCAGCUGGAGGUUGUUCUCCAGGCUUGACACCCUUGCGUGCAAGCUUCUCCAACUUCUCUUGCUCCACCUUCUUGAUGUAGACGUUCUCCGCCGCCUUCUCCUCCUCGCCAAGCAUCUUGCCACCGCUGGAGUAGAGCCUCCGGGUUGCG